rnacentral:rRNA from 1 species
ACACUCCUGCGGGAGGCAGCAGUGGGGAAUAUUGGACAAUGGGCGCAAGCCUGAUCCAGCCAUGCCGCGUGAGUGAUGAAGGCCCUAGGGUUGUAAAGCUCUUUCACCGGUGAAGAUAAUGACGGUAACCGGAGAAGAAGCCCCGGCUAACUUCGUGCCAGCAGCCGCGGUAAUACGAAGGGGGCUAGCGUUGUCCGGAUUUACUGGGCGUAAAGCGCACGUAGGCGGACUAUUAAGUCAGGGGUGAAAUCCCGGGGCUCAACCCCGGAACUGCCUUUGAUACUGGUAGUCUUGAGUUCGAGAGAGGUGAGUGGAAUUCCGAGUGUAGAGGUGAAAUUCGUAGAUAUUCGGAGGAACACCAGUGGCGAAGGCGGCUCACUGGCUCGAUACUGACGCUGAGGUGCGAAAGCGUGGGGAGCAAACAGGAUUAGAAACCCUGUAGUCC